rnacentral:rRNA from 1 species
UACGUAGGGCGCAAGCGUUGUCCGGAAUUAUUGGGCGUAAAGAGCUCGUAGGCGGUCUGUCGCGUCUGUUGUGAAAACUCGAGGCUCAACCUCGGGCUUGCAGUGGAUACGGGCAGACUAGAGUGCGGUAGGGGAGACUGGAAUUCCUGGUGUAGCGGUGGAAUGCGCAGAUAUCAGGAGGAACACCGGUGGCGAAGGCGGGUCUCUGGGCCGAUAUUGACGCUGAGGAGCGAAAGCGUGGGGAGCGAACAGG